GAUGAAGAACGCAGCAAAAUGCGAUAAGUAAUGUGAAUUGCAGAAUUCGGUGAAUCAUCGAAUCUUUGAACGCACAUUGCGCCCGCCAGUAUUCUGGCGGGCAUGCCUGUUCGAGCGUCAUUUCAACCCUCAAGCACAGCUUGGUGUUGGGACUCGCGUUAAUUCGCGUUCCCCAAAUUGAUUGGCGGUCACGUCGAGCUUCCAUAGCGUAGUAGUAAAACCCUCGUUACUGGUAAUCGUCGCGGCCACGCCGUUAAACCCCAACUUCUGAAUGUUGACCUCGGAUCAGGUAGGAAUACCCGCUGAACUUAAGCAUAUCAAUAAGCGGAGGA
rnacentral:misc_RNA from 1 species